GUGGUGACCUGGGAAUCAAUGUGUGAGGUGGUGCUAUGUAGCAGGAACCCCUCUUGCUUUGCAAAUAGUUUUUUGUUUGUUUUCCUUUUUGCCCAAUAGAGCCCUGCUCUACUGACCCUUCAAUGUGCCCGUGUGCCUAAAUAUUCCUGGUCGUGUGAAAAGAACCCAGGUAUUAGCUGAACUAAGGAGCACAAUUCUGCAACAUUUUGGCACCCAAACACGGGGCUUGAGAAAUGAAUGCAAUUGGAGAAACUGGUUGUUUUACCAGGCGUUGAUUGGAAAUGUGUGCUUCCCUUUAAGCAGUCAAGCUCAACUUGCAGAACUGAUGGGAACCCCUUGGGAAAACUGGCCUCAAAUGUUUGUCUACACAGUCCACAUACAGGGUUCUUAACCUGCGACUGACCCUGCUUGUGCCUGUGAACCAACCAACAAUCUCUGGCUGCAGCUCAGAAAGGACAAAAGAGAAUGGUGGACUGGAGCCCAAAAUGCACACUGGAGGAAGUGGAUGGAGCCACGUGGAUGUCAUGCCUUAUGCAGGGGAGGAGCCUGCUCUCUUCAGCUCCUGUGGUAAUGUGGGAAUCGAUCUGUGAGGAAACACUUUCUGAAAAUGUCAGAACUCUUGAAAACAUGGAUGAGGAAAAGCAUAAGUACUGCUUUAUGCUUUUCUUAUGAAUUUUAAAAGAUGUAAUUUAAAGAGGGGUUUUGCCAUGUUGGCCAAGCUGGUCUCAAACUCCUGACCUCAAGUGAUCCGCCCUGGCUUCCCAAGCCCAGCUGAUUCCUGUUUAAAUAAAAACUUACAAAGAUCUUCCCACAAGUACUUUAUCUUACAAUUUACUGAACAAUAGAGGCAGUGAAGAUGUUUUUCAGAAAGCAAUUGUGAUCCUGACAUUUUCUUCUUAUAAUCCUGUGCUUUCCUCAUUUUUUUAUAUUAAAAGUAAUAGUUCUUGUGAUGGCAACUAGGAUUUGUAACAACAUGUACCCUCAUUUCCUGCAUGACCUUUUUUAUGUCACUUCUUCACAUGCAAAGUAUACUCCCUCAGUGUCAUUACAUUAUUUGAUUUUUGCCCUUUCCCUCA
rnacentral:lncRNA from 1 species